GGGUGAGUGGUCUCAAUGGUUAAGAUACUCUCCUUAGUAGGGAAAUUGAACGGGUUUGUGAUAGUGGUUCGAUUCCGCUUUCAUCCA